AGCGGCGAGCGAACUGGGAUUAGCCCACGCUGAAUCUCUAUUCAUUAAAUUGAGUAGCGAAAUGUAGCGUAUGGGAACGAUUUCUAAUGAGUAGUGUGUUUCAGUAAAGUUAUCUGGAAUGAUACGCCAUGGAGGGUGACAGCCCCGUACCUGGCAUACUGCUCAUGAUGAUUUCGUUCUCGAGAGUAGGACUGUUUGAGAAUGCAGUCUGAAGUAGGUGGUGAACUCCACCUAAGGCUAAAUACGGACACGAGACCGAUAGCACAAAAGUACCGUGAGGGAAAGGUGAAAUAGCACUCUGAAAAGAGAGUUAAAAGUGCUUGAAACCAUCCGGAGGAAAAGGCGGAAGUAUAACCUCGUUACCAGCGUUGUUAUUUGAAGUUAUUAUUAUUCUACAUUUCAGGUUUGGGUAGUAAUAACUUUAAUUAAAUGAUUGCUGCUACGUGCGGGGCUAUGUAGUUGCAACAACAUCAUUGAUAAGAUGUACAUCUGAUAAAUGUACAAAUUAACUUUGACAGAGUGUUGUGACUGCAUAUGCAGCGACCAAGGGGUACGAUCUAGUAGUGUGGAGGCAUUUGGGUUUCAUACUACAUAGGUUACAUCGCUACAGUGAAUAAGUGUGUGGACAUGUAGUUAUCAUGGCUAUUUGAGCAAAACUGUUCAAGUAGUUGUGUAAUUGUGUGGAUCAGAAAUGAUUGUUGCAUACUUGUAAACUCUACCGAUGGUGUACCACCAGUUCCCGUGCGAGAUGGUGACUUCCGUCCCGUCUUGAAACACGGACCAAGGAGACCUACUGCUACGCGAGUCGAAGGGUGUAAAACCUCUAGGCGCAGCGAAAGCGAAAGGUGCCAAUUGUUUGAUGUAAUAGUCAGACAAUGCAGCACCGGCCAUCGUUGAUUUGCGGAUACGAUGAGCUAGAGCGUAGCGGCAAGGACCCGAAAGAUGGUGAGCUAUGCCCGAGCAGGGUGAAGCCAGGGGAAACUCUGGUGGAAGCCCGUAGCGAUUCUGACGUGCAAAUCGAUCGUAGAUCGGGUAUAGGGGCGAUAGACCAAUCGAACCAUCUAGUAGCUGGUUCCCUCCGAAAUAUCCCUCAGGAUCGCGGACACUCCUCACAGUUUCAUCACGUAGGGAGAAUGAUUGGAGGUUUCGGGGACGCGGCGUCCUCGACCUACUCUCAAACUUCAAAGUGGUGAGAUAAAUAUGCUACGGGCGUUUGGGUUGAGCAUAUUGGGGAAUGUGUGAGAGUGUCCAGUGGGCCAUUUUUGGUAAGCAGAACUGGCGAUCCGGGAUGAACCGAGAGUCGAGUUAAGGUGCCAAAGUGAGAUGUAAUUGAAUCCACUAAAGGUGUCGGUCAAUGUAGACAGCAGGGCGGUGGCCAUGGAAGUCGGCAUCCGCUAAGGAGUGUGUAUCAACUCACCUGCCCAAUUGACCGGUCCUGAAAAUGGAUGGCGCUUAAUUUUUCGACCGAUACUCGGCCGUCAAAUCUGACCAAUUUGACGGGUAGGGGGGCACAACGGUUGCUGAGAAGAGUUAACGUGAGUUGACUUGGAGCGGCCGUUGGAGCUGAUCUUGGUGGUAGUAGCAACUAUUCGGGUGGGAACCUCGAAGUCCGAGGUGGAGACGGGUUCCAUGCCGAUUGCAGUAAGGCAUGGGUUAGUCGAUCCUAAGUGACUCCCGAAGGGGUUAAAUGACAGGCAUCGGGUUGACUGUUAGUCACGAAAGGGAACCAGGUUAAUAUUCCUGGACCAAGUCAAGGGACUUUGGCGAUUGAUUUGCAGAGUGUUCGCGCACUUUGUAAUAUUGGUCGUCAAUUAGCGGUAACGCGUGCGAACCGGGGUACGUCGGAAGUAGCCAGAGGAAGAGUUAUCUUUUCUUCAUAACGAAACUAUUGACCAU
rnacentral:rRNA from 1 species